rnacentral:rRNA from 1 species
AGAGUUUGAUCCUAGCUCAGAACGAACGGUGACGGCGUGCCUACUACAUGCAAGUCGAGCGGUUGGAGGGGCAACUCUCCAAUAGCGGCGAACGGGUGAGUAAUAUAUAGACAACCUGCCCUUGAGAGUGGGAUAACAACCCGAAAGGGUUACUAAUACCACAUAAGUUAGAGGAACCCAUGUUCUUUGAAUGAAAGUGGGGGACCGCAAGGCCUCACACUCGAGGAGGGGUCUAUAUCCUAUCAGCUAGUUGGCAGGGUAAUGGCCUACCAAGGCGAUGACGGGUAGCCGGCCUGAGAGGGUGAACGGCCACAUGGACACUGAGACACGGGUCCAACUCCUACGGGAGGCAGCAGUAGGGAAUUUUGGGCAAUGGGCGAAAGCCUGACCCAGCGACGCCGUGUGGAGGAAGAAGGUCUUCGGAUUGUAAACUCCUAACAAGGGCUAAGAAUGCAUCUGGUGUGAAUAAUGCUGGGUGAGAGACGAGUCCUGGAUGAAGUCAUUGCUAACUCUGUGCCAGCAGCAGCGGUAAUACAGAGAUGACAACCGUUGUUCGGAAUUACUGGGCUUAAAGAGCACGUAGGUGGUAUGUUAAGUCGGUUGUGAAAGACCAGGCUUUAAGCGUGGGAGGACGACCGAAACUGGCGUACUUGAGGACGGUAGGGGAGAGUAGAAUUCCUGGUGGAGCGGUGAAAUGCGUAGAGAUCAGGAGGAAUGCCGGAGGCAAAGGCGACUCUCUAGGCCGUAACUGACACUGAGGUGCGAAAGCUAGGGGAGCAAACGGGAUUAGAUACCCCGGUAGUCCUAGCCGUAAACGAUGGGCACUAAGUGGGGGGGGUUACUUCCUCGCCGGAGCGAAAGCAUUAAGUGCCCCGCCUGGGGAGUAUGGCCGCAAGGCUGAAACUCAAAGGAAUUGACGGGGGCUCGCACAAGCGGUGGAGCAUGUGGUUUAAUUCGAUGCAACGCGAAGAACCUUACCUGGACUUGACAUGUAAGUAGUAGGAAGCCGAAAGGGGACCGAUCCUGGGUAACUAGGAAGCUUACACAGGUGUUGCAUGGCUGUCGUCAGCUCGUGCCGUGAGGUGUUGGGUUAAGUCCUAUAACGAGCGAAACCUUUAUCCUUAGUUACCAACAGGUAAAGCUGGGGACUCUAGGGAGACUGCAGGCGUUAAGCCUGAGGAAGGUGGAGAUGACGUCAAGUCAUCAUGGUCUUUAUGUCCAGGGCUACACACGUGCUACAAUGGUCGGUACAAAGGGAAGCGAAGCCGCAAGGUAGUGCAAAUCCCAUAAAGCCGAUCCCAGUUCAGACUGCGGGCUGCAAUCCGCCCGCACGAAGUCGGAAUCGCUAGUAAUCGUGGGUCAGCUAUACCACGGUGAAUGUGUUCCCGAGCCUUGUACACACCGCCCGUCAAGCCACCGAAGCAGGGGUAGCCUAAAGUCACUGACCCAACCAGAAAUGGGGGGAGGUGCCCAAGGAAGCCUCUGUGACGGGGACUAAGUCGUAACAAGGUA